UACAGAGGGGGCAAGCGUUGUUCGGAAUUACUGGGCGUAAAGGGCGCGUAGGCGGCCUUCUAAGUCGAACGUGAAAUCCCCGGGCUCAACCCGGGAACUGCGUCCGAUACUGGAAGGCUUGAAUCCGGGAGAGGGAUGCGGAAUUCCAGGUGUAGCGGUGAAAUGCGCAGAUAUCAGGAGGAACACCGAUGGCGAAGGCAGUGUUCUGGGCCAGUACUGACGCUGGAGGAGCGAAAGCGUGGGGAGCAAACAGG
rnacentral:rRNA from 1 species